UGCAUGAAGUUGGAAUCGCUAGUAAUCGCGGAUCAGCAUGCCGCGGUGAAUACGUUCCCGGGCCUUGUACACACCGCCCGUCACACCAUGAGAGUCGGGAACACCCGAAGUCCGUAGCCUGACCGCAAGGGGGGCGCGGCCGAAGGUGGGUUCGAUAAUUGGGGUGAAGUCGUAACAAGGUACC
rnacentral:rRNA from 1 species